AUCCAGCUGACGCGUCCCAAAUAGGACGAAACGCGCGUCAAACUGGAU
rfam:Schistosoma rodhaini strain Burundi genome assembly, scaffold: SROB_scaffold0000390